UGUAAACCAGAGCACCCCACCCCAGACUACAAUGUUCUGCAGUUUUUAAAGAUGUAGCAUUUGUCCUGCCACCUCAGCAGUACAGCCAGACUCCAGCAGGAGCCUGGGACUUUGAACUGUCAUGGACUGGUCAAAGAGGAUGUGUUUCGGUGAUGAACAUAUGGUGGAUAUCAUGGACAGGACCAACAAGCAGGUCUGUGUGAUGAUGUGAUCCCAGGAUCUCUGUGCUUGUGCCUCGAUCCAGAAGUGCCUGUCUACAGAGGGGACAUCAGCAGCUAGCCCGAGAGUUGUGAGCAGUAUCAGCCAGUUCAAGUCUGCCAUGUCCGUAUUCCUUCUUCUCCUACAAUAGGUGCUUAAGAUAUUUAUUCAGAUUGAGUUGGUAGCUGUGAGGUGAGAAAAUGGAGAAUACGGAAGAUAUGAUUCAAGAUGCAGUCGAUGGCCAACUCAUUCUGUCCUGGUUAUGUCUGGUCUGAAGACUGACUCCAUUCUUACUCCCUGAUCCACCGGGUAUCUUCCCUGGUAGAUGGAGAGUGGCUAGCCUACUGUUCCCUGCCUGCAGCAGCAUGAGCUGGAAAGGUCAGCCAGUGUGAAAUCUUGCCUCCAUUGAAGUCAGUGGGAAUUUUUCCAUUGACUACAAUGGAGGACAGAAUGUUAC